ACAAAUUUAUAGGUCGAUGGUUCAAUCUUCGGAUUCUUCCCCAAAUACCCAAUUCUGUUCUGAUGAAUUUCCAUGGCAGGUAAUGGAGUUUUUGCAGAGAUUCUCUAUGGUGAAGUGUACAAAUACUAUGCCGAAGGAGAGUGGAAGAAAGAAAUCCUCAUCGGGGAAAACCGUCGCCAUUAUCCCCACAACGAGGAAGACGAAGUACAGAGUUCAAGGUGUUUGAUAAAAAGCCUGUAACCAAGAGGAGGUUAAUAAAGUGAUGGAAAUAGCCAAAGCUGCUCAGGAAUCAUGGGCAAAGACUCCAUUGUGGAGGAGAGCUGAGGUUCUUCACAAAGCUGCUGCGAUUUUGAAAGAACACAAAGCCCCCAUUGCUGAGUGCUUGGUGAAGGAAAUUGCAAUGCCGGCCAAAGAUCCAGUGACCGAGGUUGUGAGAUCUGGAGAUCUUGUUUCAUAUUGUGCUGAAGAAGGUGUUAGGAUCUUGGGAGAGGGGAAGUUCUUGGUUGCUGAUAGUUUCCCUGGAAAUUAAAGGACCAAAUAUUGCCUUACUUCCAAGGUACAUGUUCUCCUCUUCUUCUCUGCUAUGUCUUGGACAAGACUACUUUUAGAUGAUAAUGUUCUGUCUCAACUGUUUUAUCGUUUAUAUACGUUUUAAAACAUCGAAACUUGUUAGAAUGUUAGAUGAAAAUUGAGUAAUGGUGAUAUGAAUGGUAAAUUGUGACAUGGAAUGAUGUGAUAGUCACUUGAAAUGGAACGUAAAAAAGGGGAUCCUAUCAACUUGUUCCGACCUAGGAUAAUAAGUUCACGAGCUUACUCCUACUUCACUGUCGAGAAAUGAAAGAAGACUUCCAUUUCCAAGUUUAACUCAGAUGUAGCUUGCUUCUUUUUGGGUAUGAAGCAGUGUCAAACCAAAAUACCCAAUAAAUAUUAGCUCUCCCUGAAAAGGAGGUGAUCCAGCUGCACCUUCCAAUAUGGCUACCUUGUUACGACUUCACUUUAGUCACUAGCCCCACCUUCAGCAUCCCCUCCUUAUAGUUAAGGUAAUGACUUCGGGCAUGGCCAGAUCCCAUAGUGUGACGGACAGUGUGUGAGACCUAGGAAUAAUUUCAUUGCCGUAUGGCUAACUGACAAUUACUAGCGAUUCCAGCUUCAUUUCAGCCUACAAUCCGAACUGAGGACAAGUUUUUUGGAGUGGCGACCUGAAAUGAAAAUUUGGAUCUAACACCACAUUCGGAGUCUCAAUUUCCACCCAACAUUCGACCGUAUUUCUACCCACUAUUAUAGUUUUGAAAUGCCUAUAAAAGUAUUGUAAGUUUUAAAAGAAUAAAAAUUGCUUCAACCUAGCUGGUUUUCCUAAAGGUCUUAUUAGCUGUGUCACCGGAAAAGGUUCUGAGAUUGGUGAUGUCCUCACGAUGCAUUGGGGUGUCGACUGUGUAAGCUUUAUCGGUGGGGAUACCGGCAUUGCAAUCUCAAAGAAGGCAGGCAUGAUACCUCUUCAGAUGGAACUGGGAGGCAAAGACGCCUGCAUUGUGCUCGAGGAUGCCGUUUACAUCAUAAAGGGAGGCUUUUCUUUCAGGUGAGAGCAGAUUCGUUUAUACUGGUUGAUACCAGACUCGUAUUUGCUUCCCAGUUUCCAUUCUUUGACAUCCAUGAAAAUCUAUACUAGGCUGAUUUGAUAGAAAGAAGACAACUUGUUCUUGUUCUUCUUCUUCAUCCUUACGGCAGAGUACAACUUAAGC